rnacentral:rRNA from 1 species
ACCUCAACUCAGUCGUGAUUACCCGCUGAAUUUAAGCAUAUAACUAAGCGGAGGAAAAGAAACUAA